UGGGGAAUAUUGGACAAUGGGCGCAAGCCUGAUCCAGCCAUGCCGCGUGAGUGAUGAAGGCCCUAGGGUUGUAAAGCUCUUUUGUGCGGGAAGAUAAUGACGGUACCGCAAGAAUAAGCCCCGGCUAACUUCGUGCCAGCAGCCGCGGUAAUACGAAGGGGGCUAGCGUUGCUCGGAAUCACUGGGCGUAAAGGGUGCGUAGGCGGGUCUUUAAGUCAGGGGUGAAAUCCUGGAGCUCAACUCCAGAACUGCCUUUGAUACUGAGGAUCUUGAGUUCGGGAGAGGUGAGUGAAACUGCGAGUGUAGAGGUGAAAUUCGUAGAUAUUCGCAACAACACCAGUGGCGAAGGCGGCUCACUGGCCCGAUACUGACGCUGAGGCACGAAAGCGUGGGGAGCAAACA
rnacentral:rRNA from 1 species